rnacentral:tRNA from 1 species
GCCAGGGUGGCGGAAUCCGGUAUCGCGUGCGCCUGGAAAUUACUUCCCUGUAAGCGUAUGGCCUCACGGCCUUUAGGGUUCAAAUCCCUACCCUGGCG